CAUCGCCGCGGUAAUACGUAGGUGGCAAGCGUUGUCCAGAAUUAUUGGGCGUAAAGGGCUCGCAGACGGUUUCUUAAGUCUGAUGUGAAAGCCCCCGGCUCAACCGGGGAGGGGCAUUGGAAACUGGGAAACUUGAGUGCAGAAGAGGAGAGUGGAAUUCCACGUGUAGCGGUGAAAUGCGUAGAGAUGUGGAGGAACACCAGUGGCGAAGGCGACUCUCUGGUCUGUAACUGACGCUGAGGAGCGAAAGCGUGGGGAGCGAACAGGAUUAGAUACCCCCGUAGUCCCUGUCUCUUAUACA
rnacentral:rRNA from 1 species